AAAAAUCUAUUAAUUUUAUUAAAGAGAGUACAUCACUAUAAUUGCAGAAUAGUUUACAAUAUAAGACAAUUAAUAUGUGUAUAUAAAAUAGAGUUCUAAUGAAAUACCAAGAAAGAAACAUUUAAAACAUGCUGCCAGUAUGGAAUGAUUAUAGAAGGAAUUUUACUUUGUGUCCGAUAUUGACAUUUUAAUAUAAACUCUGUGAGGAAAUAUAUAGGCCCCAACAUAAGACACAUCUACAUUUCUCACUCUAGUUUAUCUCAAUCCAAUUGUUUUUAUGGAAGUGGUCACCAUGGAGAAAUGUCUUUAAAGUUCAUUCUCUCAAGCAUCCAAUGAGGCUGUUCCACACUUGUCCCCCACUUAUUACGCACCUGUCCCACACAUAGUCCGCUCAUGGCC